rnacentral:rRNA from 1 species
CCCUUAGAUGUUCUGGGCUGCACGCGUGCUACACUGAUGUAUUCAAUAAGCUCCCAACCCACUCCGAAGGGAUCGGGUAACCUUCGAAAAUCACAUCGUGAUGGGGAUAGACUGUUGCAAUUAUAAGUCUUUAACGAGGAAUUCCUAGUAAGUGCAGGUCAUCAGCUUGUGUUGAUUACGUCCCUGCCCUUUGUACACACCGCCCGUCGCACCUACCGAUUGAAUGGUCCGGUGAGGCCUCGGGAUUGUGGCCAGUUUCCUUCAUUGGGAGUUGGCUGCGAGAACUUGUCCAAACCUUAUCAUUUAGAGGAAGGUGAAGUCGUAACA